AUACGGAAGGUCCGGGCGUUAUCCGGAUUUAUUGGGUUUAAAGGGAGCGCAGGCGGAGAUGCAAGCGUGACGUCAAAUUUCGGGGCUCAACCCCGUCUCGCGUCGCGAACUGCGUCCCUUGGUUGCGGGAAGGGGAGGCGGAACUCGUGGUGUAGCGGUGAAAUGCAUAGAUAUCACGAAGAACUCCGAUCGCGAAGGCAGCCUUCCGGCCCGUCAACGACGCUCAUGCUCGAAGGUGCGGGUAUCAAACAGGAUUAGAUACCCGGGUAGUCCGCACAGUAAACGAUGGACACCCGCGGUUUGGCCUGUAUGGCUGAGCCGCCAAGCGAAAGCGUUAAGUGUCCCACCUGGGGAGUACGCCGGCAACGGUGAAACUCAAAUGAAUUGACGGGG
rnacentral:rRNA from 1 species